GGAGGGAGCAAGCGUUGUUCGGGAUUUACUGGGGCGUAAAGGGGCGUGUAGGUGGGUAGUUAAGUCAGAUGUGAAAUCCCUCAGCUCAACUGAGGGAACUGCAUUUGAAACUGAUUAUCUUGAGUGUGAGAAGAGAGAGCGGAAUUUUCGGUGUAGCGGUGAAAUGCGUAGAUAUCGAAAAGAACACCUGUGGUGCAAACGGCUCUCUGGCUCAACACUGACACUGAGGCGCGAAAGCUAGGGUAGCGAACGGGAUUAGAUACCCCGGUAGUCCUAGCCAUAAACGAUGUGCACUUGGUGGUGGGGAGUAUCCGACCCUCUCUGUGCCGAAGCUAACGCGUUAAGUGCACCGCCUGGGGACUACGGCCGCAAGGCU
rnacentral:rRNA from 1 species